AUCUUGGUGUAUUGAGAUUCAGGGCUGAACAGAUGAAAUGUUCUGAUAAAAAAGGACCCAAGGACGGGAGAGAUGUUUCUGCUUCUCAUUAAUGUUUCGCUCUUACUUGAAGUACCUUUUUGGUUGCUUUUACUUUUUCAAAGUAAAUUUUCAAAUUAUCAAACUAUCUUUGUCUUGAUAAUUUGAAGACCUAAUUAAUUAUUGUACAUUGAACAUAAUGUGUGCAUUGUGAGCACACAUAAAGGAAUGUUAAGGAGAAUUCUAUGUUGUCUAGGCACUGAUACGUAUAGAAGGAAACUGACUUAACCAGGGCCCCCAGGAUCACCUUGGGUCUAGAAGCCAUCACUGCUCCUGGAACUUUGCCCCCGCCUGGCUGAACAGGGUAAUGCCCUGAAGACACACACUGUCCGAAUCCCUACUGAAUGAUGUUGAAAGUGAGAAUUCAGUCAUGGAAUCUGCCUUCCUUGAACACCAAAUGAAGUCUGAAAUGGGAACUGACUUUCCGAGAGCCUAACUCAUGGAGAAUACAGAGGCACAAUCCUUCUAGGUAUUAGUAUUAGUUCAGUGGGGAUAAGGAUAUUUGGAAAGACCCUGAAGGACCACUCAGGGCCGGCUGGUAUAGAUGAGCUAGAUAGUACAUAUUAGUCAGUAUUUGAAUGCAUUUAGCAAGGAGACCAGUAAGAAUGACAAAAAAUAUUAAAAAUGCCACACUGACUGCUUCCUGAUGGCCACUGGCACCACCCUCACCAUUGCCGAGGAUACUGUACGCUAAUCAUGAAGAAGCACUGCCUACUGUCAAGGAGAAGAAGGGGCAUGGUGCUGGGUACCUACAGGCACCAGAACAUUCCUGAGGACUCACACCACAGGGAAAGAAAACCUGGAAAUGUCAGAGCUGAUGAAGAGCAAUUAGGAAUGAAAAUACAAUCCAUUGAAUCAGAUAAGAAACAAACUCAGCAGGAUGCUUCUUGUUGCUGUUAUUCCAUUCAUAAGAAAAUGUCAUCCACUCAAAAUCAUUUGAUUUUCUGCAGCAAAUUCCUUGAUACAAAAAAGAUCCUGGGGUUUAUAUAGGGCAUUACCACAUUUAGUGAAAAAUUCACCCAUUUUUUUCCGCCAUAAAUGUGUAAUUUUUAGAUCAAUUUAGAUCAAGGAAGCUAUUCUCUGAUAUAAUAAAGAGAAAAGAAUCUUGAACCUGGUUAAGAGUGGUCUCAAGCCAAAACAGAUAAUUUCUACAGAACGCAAUAAAUACUCUUUGGUUCUGUGUGGUGAUAUUGCCUCCCAGACAUUUUAAGGCUUAACACCUAAAGAAUGGGUUGAUUUUAAAUUAAUAAAUGAAUAGAAAAGGAAUAAAAUCUUCUGUCUUUGUUAAUGUCAGACUUUCCUAACCUUUUUCUAAUCAUCUUAUCAAUAUUUUGUACUUUUUUCCUGUUCCUUUUAAUUCUUUUGGCAUUUACUCAAGGUCUGUCUUUUGGCCUUUUGUUGCUCUGUGUUCUCUCUCUAGGCCUUCUCAACCACUCUCAUCACUUCAACCAUCUUGAAUGUUUUGGAAACCUGUAUUGGGUCCCAACAUUUUCUUGUGGUCCAAAGUGAUAACAACAACAGGCUGAGCAUGGUGGCUCACACCUGUAAUCCCAGCAGUUUGGGAGGCCUAGGUGGGUGGAUCACCUGAGGUCGGGAGUUUGAGAGCAGCCUGGCCAAUGUGGCAAAACCCCAUCUCUACUAAAAAUAAAAAAAUUAGCCAAAUAUGAUGGCAUGCACCUGUAGUCCCACCUACUUGGGAGGCUGAGGCAGGAGGAUUGCUUGAACCUGGAAGGCAGAGGUUGCAGUGAGCUGAGAUCAUGCCACUGCACUCCAGCUGGGGCAACAGAAUAAGACUCCAUCUCAAACAAGACAAAACAAAACAAAACAAAACAAAAAAACUCACUAAGUGAUAACAACAAUAAUGGCAACAUUCAUUGUAUACUUACUAUGUGCUGGGCACUGGGUUAACAAGUGAACAUGCAUAAUCUCAUUUAAUUCUUACAGCCACCUGUAAGAUAGAUGCCAUUAUUGUCUUCGUUUUGCAGGAAAAAAAACUAAAGUUGAGUGAUAUCACACACUUCCCCUAGAGUCAUACAGAUAAUAAACAACUAAACUGGGUUUUAAACCCGGACAGUUUCACUCUAAAGUGAGUGUUUUGUUUUCAGCCACCUGCUAAGCAUCUGCCCUUGAAUCUCCUAUAGGCCUCUUAAAGCCAAUCUACAUAAAACACAUUUCCAAUUAUUCCUGCUUCCCUUUUGGCAAUUAAUUCAUGUGUUCCACAAAUAAGAAUUAAUCAAGCAUCAUGAAGAGUCAGAUGGAAGCCUAUGCACUGAGGAUGAAAUGUUGAACAAAAUAGUAGUGAUUCCUGCAUGUAUAGAGUUUACUUUUUAGAGAGGGGAGACUCUCAUUAAUUACAUUAUUUUGCAAACAGAUAAUUAUUCCAAGCUGGAAUAAGUGCUAAGAUGGGAAAGUAAAAUAUGCUGUGGGAGCAUCUAAUAGGAGACCUGCUUUCUUUGAGGGGAAGAUAGGGAAGGGGGAAUGUGAGAAGGGCUUCCCCUAUAAAUUGCUAUUUAAGUUGAGAUCAAAAAGAUGAGUAGUAGUUAACUAGGCAAGGGAUGACUUCCAGGCAGAGAUUCCAAUACCUACAAAGGCCCUGAGAUGAGAGGGAGCUUAGCAUAUUAGAGAGACUGAGAAAAAAAUUGGUAUAUCUGGGACAGUGGUCAAAGUUACAAGGGUAGCAAGGAUAAGACCAUGUAGGCCCUCCUAAGAUGUGCUAAAUAUUUUCCUCUUGUUCUAAGACCACUGAAAAGUCCUUAGGAGUGUUUAAUUAUUGUAGUAAAGGAAUAAAAUCUAUGUCUUGAAGAUGCCAUUCUGGCUGCUGUUGGGAGGCUGGUUUGGAGGGGGAAGAGUAGAUUCAGGGAAACCAGUGAGGAGGAUAUUUCAUAAUCUCUCUAAGUGAGAGAUUAUGGUCUUAUCUCUCAUUAUUUCUGUUUAAAGAAGGAUUGUAGUCUUGGAGAUAGAGAUGAAAGACAUUCAAAUAUGCCUUUCCAUUCAAAUCAGAAAUCUUGGACUUAUCUCAACUUCAUCCUUUUUCCUACUCAUUUUAUCCAAUUAGACUCCUGUUGAUUUUACCUCAACAUGUCUUGUGUCUUUUCCCCUUUCUUCAUUUUUAUGGCUACUACCUGAG
ensembl:lncRNA